UACAGAGGAGGCAAGCGUUAUUCGGAAUCACUGGGUUUAAAGCGCGUGUAGGCGGCGGGGCAAGCGUCCCGUGACAUCCCACUGCUCAACGGUGGAACUGCGGGGCGAACUGCCCGACUUGCGGUUGGUAGAGGUGUCCGGAACUCUAGGUGGAGCGGAGAGAUGCGUAGAUAUCUAGAGGAACGCCAGAGGCGAAAGCGGGGCACUGGGCCUAUUCUGACGCUGAGACGCGAAAGCGUGUGGAGGAAACAGG
rnacentral:rRNA from 1 species